GUACUCUUAUUCAGUGCUUGGGUUUUAUAUGGGGUGUUUAAUGAAUAAAAGGUUUACAACCUGUGAAAUUAUGAACCCUUAUUGUAUACUGUAUGUAUUUUAAAUCUGCAAUUCAAUAUAAAAUAUAUUUCCAUACACUACUUACCUUAUGUUUACUCGUCGAUCUCACCAAAGCCAUCAAUGUCCCCAUAACUCACUAUCAACAAAUAACUUUGCAUGACAUAGUCCUACCGUCAGGGUUCAAUGCAGAUUAAAACAGGCUCGCAUCUUUACUGCUGUUGCACAGGGGGGCUAACUGUUGCAUUUCAGUAAAUGUAUAGCUGAUACUUUAUAGAAAAAUCUAGUAAUUUGGUCUUUAAUCAAUAAAAACUGCUGCUGUAGUUUACUCUGUUCUAGUGUUCAAGUAUAUACUAGUAUGUUAAAGUUCAGCUUCUUCCCUCUUUGUUCCCUGUAGUUAAAGGGUAAAUACAGUAUUUGUUCCCUCCUUGUUCCCUGUACUUACAGGGGUAAAUACUACAUUUGAGGGUUGUAAAUUAAAGUGAAGCUUUGUUCCUCCCUUGUUCCCUGUACUUACAGGGUAAAUACCACAUUUGAGGGUUGUAAAUUAAAGUGAAGCUUUGUUCCUCUCUUGUUACCUCCUUGUUCCCUGUACUUACAGGGUAAAUACCACAUUUGAGGGUUGUAAAUUAAAGUGAAGCUUUGUUCCUCUCUUGUUACCUCCUUGUUCCCUGUACUUACAGGGGUAAAUACCACAUUUGAGGGUUGUAAAUUAAAGUGAAGCUUUGUUCCUCUCUUGUUACCUCCUUGUUCCCUGUACUUACAGGGUAAAUACUACAUUUGAGGGUUGUAAAUUAAAGUGAAGCUUUGUUCCUCCCUUGUUCCCUGUACUUACAGGGUAAAUACCACAUUUGAGGGUUGUAAAUUAAAGUGAAGCUUUGUUCCUC
rnacentral:lncRNA from 1 species